UACGUAGGGACCAAGCGUUGUUCGGAUUUACUGGGCGUAAAGGGCGCGUAGGCGGCAAUUCAAGUCAGCUGUGAAAUCUCCGGGCUUAACUCGGAACGGUCAGCUGAUACUGCUUUGCUAGAGUGCAGAAGGGGCAAUCGGAAUUCUUGGUGUAGCGGUGAAAUGCGUAGAGAUCCGGAGGAACACCAGAGGCGAAGGCGGCCUACUGGGCUGCACCUGACGCUGAACCGCGAAAGCUAGGGGAGCGAACGGG
rnacentral:rRNA from 1 species